AGUGACAAUAGAAAUGGACAGACAUUAAGGAAGUGUUAUGACAGGCAGUGUGGGAGCUGGGGGGGUAUGUGUUACUGUGAGAGAGCUCAGGGAUCACAUAGUACUCAGCCAUGAGGGAGACAGUGUCCUGCUGCUACUGAGGGAGCCAGGCUGAGAGGCUCUGCAGAGUGUGAGGAGACAGGAGAGGCUCUGCAGAGUGUGAGGAGACAGAAGAUGAGAGGCUCUGCAGAGUGUGAGGAGACAGGAGAUGAGAGGCUCUGCAGAGUGUGAGGAGACAGGAGAUGAGAGGCUCUGCAGAGUGUGAGGAGACAGAAGAUGAGAUGCUCUGCAGAGUGUGAGGAGACAGGAGAUGAGAUGCUCUGCAGAGUGUGAGGAGACAGGAGAUGAGAUGCUCUGCAGAGUGUGAGGAGACAGGAGAGGCUCUGCAGAGUGUGAGGAGACAGGAGAUGCUCUGCAGUGUGAGGUGGCAGGAGAUGAGAUGCUCUGCAGAGUGUGAGGAGAUGAGAGGCUCUGCAGAGUGUGAGGAGACAGGAGAUGAGAGGCUCUGCAGAGUGUGAGGAGACAGGAGAUGAGAUGCUCUGCAGAGUGUUAGGAGACAGGAGAUGAGAGGCUCUGCAGAGUGUGAGGAGAGAGGAGAUGAGAGGCUCUGCAGAGUGUGAGGUGGCAGGAGAUGCUCAGCAGUGUGUGAGGUGGCAGUAGAUGAGAUGCUCUGCAGAGUGUGAGGAGACAGGAGAUGCUCUGCAGUGUGUGAGGUGCCAGGAGAUGAGAUGCUCUGCAGAGUGUGAGGAGACAGGAGAUGCUCUGCAGUGUAUGAGGUGG
rnacentral:lncRNA from 1 species